CACUCCUUGGUAUACUCAACCAUCUGAGUAGCGUAUUCCACACUUUAGCUGCAUAAUCACAUUGGAAGAAUAGAUGUUCCACAUUUUCCUCAAUGUUAUACGCAGAACAAAUGUUCCAUCCACUAGUAACUUCUAUUUAAUCAACCUAUCCUUGGUGGAAAUUCAAUUCUUGAUGGCCAAUCUUUGUAUAAAUAUCCAUUUUACAACCCCGUAGUUAUGCACAUAAACCUUUU
rnacentral:lncRNA from 1 species